UUUUUUAAAAACACGUGAAACUUUAGUUUGUGGAAGUAUUGAAAAGUUUAAGAUGUAUUUUAGAAUUUAGAAAGUCAAAGUGUAAGAAAAGGGAGUCAAGAUAUAUACAUGCACUACAACAGGUUACUACAGAAUAACUUGACAGAAUCUGUCAAUACAGUUUUGGACAGACUCUGAAACACUUCCUUCAUAGUCAUUGUUCAGUAACUCUUAUGUUUUUUAAUAGUGUAAUAUGACAUAAUUUCCCAACACUGGUUACAGGUGAGGAUUGAGCAGGCAGGCAGGUAAAUUCAUUGUGUUGCUAUUUAAAAGACCACACUGCCAUCUGCUGGUGGUAGAGUGUUGAACACUGUUGAGGAUGUACAGUAUCUGUUAGUCAGAACGAGAGGAUGGCCAGUACGAUGUGCACAGGGUUGGUAGGAGCAGACUUCAAGGAACUAGGUUAACAAAAUCAGAUUACAUAACAUAGGUAAUUAUACUCGGACCAGAUUUCACCUAUGAAUCCUUCAUGCGCUCGCCCCUCAGCACUCCUCUGACCUCCAUCAUCCAUGCAGCCCGUCCCAGAGCCUCCAGUCCUCAUACAUCUGGCCUGCUCUCCACAGCCCCGACCCCAUGGAAUGCUCUCUCUGCUGACACCUGUAAUUCUUCAUCUCUGGACAUGUUUACACCUCAAAGAGGAAAACUCCUUCAUUGUCAUCCCACAGUUGAUGGAUCCCCGUGUUUCAUCAGAUUCUCUGCAGCAGAACCUGAUACAGUCUUCCACUGUGUUCACAUCCUCAUCACGCUUUUUGCUCUGCCUCAUACUCAUGUCUGUGGUGUGUUAGCACUACAUUGCUGAAUGACAGAUGUGAGUUAACCAAACCAUGUGUUUAUACAGUAUUUUUGUCCAAUUGAUCCUGUUGCAACAUAAAUAUAGUCAAAGUAUAUGUAUGUUGAAUUUACUGUGGCUGCUGUGUGAAGGCAAGUCUAGGUGCUGUAUUGUUGGCAAGUGGACUUGUUUCAGUUUCCUGAAGAUGUUUCACCUCUCAUCCAUGAGGCUUCUUCCGUUCUAACUAACUGGAGACCAAUGGCCUUGUGGAGAAAAAGACUGGGACAAUACAGAGGUCCCUGAAUGAAAUGGUCGCAGAUCAUCACACACAGUUGGACCAGUACCUUCAGUCAACAAUGUUCGCCCUGUUAACCAAGCAGCAAUUAACCACAAGACUGGAAAGGAUGUGCCACGGCUGAGACGGACAAAAAGCAUCGUAAUGAAAGACACAUGUCUGGAUGACUCAGAACUAUAUGAUACUACGUCAGAUAGUGAGAAAGAAUGUGCCAGAUCCCAACUUGGAUUCUGAAGACAGCAACAUAAGCCAUGAUCCCAAACAAAGAAAAUUCUUUCUUUAUGAUCUAUCCAGUGACUGUGAUGAGAGUCCCACCCUGUGUGACACCACAACACCUGACUUGGACAUUCUUUUUAGAGGAAAAGUUCCAUAGCAACAUGUGUGAAUUUCUAAUCUCAAGCCUGGGUCAGUCAACCCAAAGCCAGGAAAGAACCGUGUUCAGGCUCUGUGUACACACACAGGUCCUCUGCCUUUGCACAUGAGCAGGCAGCUGUGGAAAACUGUCAGUGCUAUGAAUCCUGGUCCUAUCUAAGAAAUUAUACAAAAUGUCUGCCAGGAGGAAAAACACAAGUAUAUAAUUAUCCAGUUUGCACCUUCAUUUAUGUAAUGUGAUCAUUUCAUAGAUAGUACUUACAAUUUUACACUAUAAGCCAAGCAACAUAAUGUAACAUUAUCCACCUCUUAAGAAUCACAUUUAGUACCCAAAAUCAAAUGCGUAAAUCUAAUGUCAGAAUUUCUGCAUGAAUCAAUGUGUUGCUAGACAAAGUAUUAUCAAAUGUGGUUGUAUUACAUGUUUGUGAUAAAAAGGUAUUUGGACAUCCCUUCCUCCUUGAACCGGCACCUUAUCAUGGUGGAGGGGUUUGAGCUAUGCCCCUGGUAGGGUCUCCCAAAGCAAACAGGCCCUAGGUGACGGGUCAGACUAAGAUCGGUUCCAAAGUCCCUACUGAAUAAAACAACAACAAGGAAGUGUACGCCACCCGGAAUGGCGUCACUGGGGCCCCACCCUGCAGCCAGGCCUGGGGUUGGGGCUCGCAGGCGAGCACCUGGUGGCCGAGUCUUUGCCCACGGGACCCGGCUGGGUGCAGCCAGAACGAGCGACGUGGGCCCGUCCUUCAGUAGGCUCACCACCCGCAGGAGGGUUCAGAAGGGGCCGGUGCAGUGUGAUUUGGGUGGCAGUUGUGGGUGGGGGCCCCAACAACCCAAUCCUUGGAUGGUGACUCUAGCCAUGGGGACAUGCAAGGUCACCUUGCUGGGGGAGAGGAGCCUGAGCUAGUGUGGGAGGUUGAGCGGUACUGGCUGGAGAAUUUUAAGGUUGGAGAGCUUGUCCUCCAAGAAAUAUUAGGCAGGAGCAGCGGCAAGCCGUAUGUCGAUUUGCUUGGCCCCCUUAAAAUAGUGAAACUGGAGGGGAAAAGUGCAGACCUGGUGUCCUAGAAGGGAAAGAGGAAAAUUAAGAUUAUCAUUGACCAUCUCAUACAUCAUGUCCAGCCCGAGGAGAGGGUCCCUGCCAAACUGAGAAAGGUGUUGGUUUCCUCUCCUCUGGCUGGUCCACCACAACACACAUGCAAACACAACCCUUUGGCACACCAGCCGGCCAAAAAGCCCCAAGACCUGCCAAGGAUACAGAACAUUGUGAAUAAAGUAGAGAUGGGUAAAAAUAUCAAUUCAUCAAUGCAUUGCAAUAUAUUUUUUCCCCAAUUCAAUAUCGAUUCAGAAAAUCCUCUCAAUUGAUUCAGGCAAGCAGCGGCCCCCGGUCACCCGCUGUACCUCGCCGGACGCCUCUAGGUCCCGCUUCCAGCUGCUGGAAGCGCCUCGCCCUGCGACCUCGCCUUUGCCAAUCUAUCAUCAGAAUAAGUCAUUUUUCUGAUACUGAGCAGUCACUUUUCAGCUUGGGGAGCAGACCCUGCAGGGUGAAAAGACUGACUACCCAGUGGACCAGCAGGGUGUGAACCACAUAAGGCUUGAAAUGGAAAUGGCCCUGAUGACUAACACGGCACUGUGUUGGCCAUGUGGGGAGGAGAGCUCAGCGGCUGAUGUGGAUGAGUGGUACAACAACAUACCAGUGGCGAGGCUUCGACCAAAGACUUCAGUGUGUUGGAAUGAGGCAGCUGUGAUGGAGGACUCCACCCCACAGAGAGCUGUUGAGGUGUCACAUCCUACGCAGACAGUCCAGGUUCUGUCACAGAUGUGGUCGAGCCAUGUAAGGGCCAUGGUGCAGCCACCGAACACAGACACCACUGAACAUUCAUGACUCAGCCAAUCAGAGGAGGAUGUGGGGCAUCACCCAGUGAUGGAGCAGCUUGAUCCUACACCAAGUCCAUCUAGUGCAGAGCAUCAGCUGCCCUCCUCUCCUCACUGUGGCGUUCUGUGGCGUCACAAACGAGGCGGUGCAACAUGGUGACCUCCAUGGACGGAGACCCACUCCAUACACAACUCUUACUUUCGGAACAAUCCUGGCUAAGAUGGGCCUGCAGGAGAAAGUUGAGCCCCAGCAGGCCAAAAAGAAAUGGGACAACCUAAAAAAAAAAAAAGGACUGCAGAUAUCCGGCAACUGGAGAGGGAGUCAGCGGGAAGCCCAGUGCUGCUACUUGGUCCUGGUUUGUCCUCAUGGACAGAAGACAUGGCUGCGUACGUUAGCUUCAGAAUGGCACUCAGAAACCUCCUGGAAAUGAGAUCCAAUAAUCCAUAUUUCAGACCACCCCCACUAAAAAUCAAAAUUUUACAAAUCAUUGACUCUCCAAGAGUUACACCGUGGGACUCUUCUCAGAUCACUGUUCGCCCGGCUGUUACAAAACAAAAUAAGGUGGCAGUGAUUACCGAAUUGACCAUCUAUGAAGAAGAAUUAUCAAUCUUGUCAUUCCCCUGUGAUUAAAAGUGACCUCUGGAAAGGACUUCAUCCCACAAAAAAAUAAAAAAAAAAAUAACCCAACAUCUCUGCAGCAGGUAAGCUGUAAAGGCAUAGGUAUGGUUCAUGGACAUGUAGAGAUGGGGAAGAGGACAUGUGACAAUAGAUGGAAAGGGGAAAUAGAGGAUGAAAGGAAAGAGGUAGGACACUAACAUCAGGCAGAUCCAGAGAUGAGGAAAAAGAAGAGAAAGUAAGGAGGAGGAGGACAAAGAAAACAGGCGGGCCACAGGGAAAGAAAUGUGUGCAUCACUUCAUCCAGGCAAAGAAAAUCUGUUCAAGAGAAUUCUGAUGUCAUGCCACAGACAUGCCCAGAAAGAGGGGUCCCUCCUGAUGGAGGUGCUCCUUGAUGACGACACGGUGUUUGACAUCCGGAGGGAUCUAUGAUCGCUGACGGACUCAAGAGGGUGAAAAAAGAGGAAUGAAGAGGGGAGAAUUAAACAAGUGUUGUAAUCCUUUUAAAAAAUGUUUGAUUUUGUUGAAUUUAAUCUGCAUGUUGUUCCUUUUUUUUUUAACAUGUUCACAUUUUUUUAUUGUUCACUUGUUCAAUUUAAAUGUAUUAAAUGUAUU